rnacentral:rRNA from 1 species
ACUUACAGCCAUACCAUCCUGAAUACGCCCGAUCUCGUCUGAUCUUGGAAGCUAAGCAGGGUCUGGCCUGGUUAGUACUUGGAUGGGAGACCGCCUGGGAAUACCAGGUGCUGUAAGUG